rnacentral:rRNA from 1 species
AAUCCCGGCGCGGCGCGCCGGGAGUUGUAGUCUGGAGAAGGAUCCUCUGCUGCGCACCGGACCCAAGUUCCCUGGAAAGGGACGUCGUGGAGGGUGAAAACCCCGUAGAGUCCGGACCGUGCUGCUCCACGAGGUCCUGUCUGCGAGUCGGGCUGUUUGGGAAUGCAGCCCUAAGUGGGUGGUAAACUCCAUCCAAGGCUAAAUACUGGCAAGAGACCGAUAGCGAACAAGUACCGCGAGGGAAAGAUGAAAAGGACUUUGAAAAGAGAGUUAAAAAGUGCUUGAAAUUGCUGGGAGGGAAGCGAAUGGAAGCUGCGGGUGUUUCCCGGUUGAAUGUGGAACGGAUGUUUAUAUCCAAAUAUCUGGUCCGCCGCUCAACGCGGGAAACUGGUCAGCGUGGGCUGCCGCGGCGGGAAAAAGGUUGGGCGGGAGCGUUUCCCGCCCUGACAACAAUGCCGUUGCGGUGGCCGAGGAACGCGAAGCGCGCGCCGGAUUCCAUCCGGCGUGGGAUGUCAAUCCAUCCCAACUGCGCGCUCGGGACGCUGGCGUAUUGAGCUCUUCAUCCGACCCGUCUUGAAACACGGACCAAGGAGUCUAACAUGUAUGCGAGCCGGUGGGCGGCAAACCCAUUGAGGCGCAAGCAAACUGACAGGUGGGAUCCCGCCCCGCCUUCGCCGGCGGGAGAGGGAGCACCAUCGACCGACCGUGAUCUUCUGUGAAAGGUUCGAGUGUGAGCAUACCUGUUGGGACCCGAAAGAUGGUGAACUAUGCCUGAGCAGGGCGAAGCCAGAGGAAACUCUGGUGGAGGCUCGUAGCGAUACUGACGUGCAAAUCGUUCGUCAGACUUGGGUAUAGGGGCGAAAGACUAAUCGAACCAUCUAGUAGCUGGUUCCCUCCGAAGUUUCCCUCAGGAUAGCUGGAGCUCGUGUGACUGAGUUUUAUCAGGUAAAGCGAAUGAUUAGAGGCAUCGGGGGUGUAACACCCUCGACCUAUUCUCAAACUUUAAAUGGGUAAGCCGCCGGGGUUGCUUGGCUUGAACCCCGGCACAGAAUCCAGA